rnacentral:tRNA from 2 species
CCCUGGUUAGCUCAGUUUGUAGAGCGCUCCAUUGGAAAUGGAGAGGUUCCGGGUUCGAUACCCGGAUCGGGUG